CUCCUCAUUCCCAUUCCACAAACGUUCCUAGCAAAAAGAGGAAAGACUGCACUGCUCUUCAACAUUCUCUGCCAAAGCAUUUUCAAGUAUCAGUUCAUUCAAACAAUAACCAACCAACAAAACCAUUCAAGGUCAAGUACCAGAGUUAGAGCUAAACCGUGAGUCUGCUAUUCAGGUUGAGCGGUGAUCGAGGAUGUAGUGUGCAAGCGGAGCUUUUGUCAAACUAGGAUGAUUACCUCAGAGUAGAGUAUAUGUCUUCAUACAUAUACUCAAAUUGUUAUUCCGCUGCGAACACUGAUUAUGUUAAGAUAUUAUGUCAUUUGUCAAACAAUAUGUAUUAUUUAAUAAUGUACUAAAACCAUUGAGUACCCCGUUUUGGGAUAAUAUUAUGUACGGUCCCCUUGUGGCCUUCGUUGAUAUCUAGAUAUUUCGAUUGAUUUCUUUAUACAAGUCGAGUCAUCAAGAAAACGAAUAUGCCCUUUCUAAAUCCCGCUCCUAAAUUCCCUCCCUUAG